UACGUAGGGGGCUAGCGUUGUCCGGAAUCAUUGGGCGUAAAGAGCGUGUAGGCGGUUCGGUAAGUCCGCUGUGAAAGUCCAGGGCUCAACCCUGGAAUGCCAGUGGAAACUGCCGAGCUAGAGUCCGGAAGAGGCGAGUGGAAUUCCUGGUGUAGCGGUGAAAUGCGCAGAUAUCAGGAGGAACACCGGUGGCGAAGGCGGGUCUCUGGGCCGAUACUGACACUGAGAAGCGAAAGCGUGGGGAGCGAACAGG
rnacentral:rRNA from 1 species